AUACGUAGGUGGCAAGCGUUGUCCGGAUUUAUUGGGCGUUAAAGCGAGCGCAGGCGGUUCCUUAAGUCUGAUGCGAAAGCCCACGGCUUAACCGUGGAAGGUCAUUGGAAACUGGGGAACUUGAGUGCAGAAGAGGAGAGUGGAAUUCCAUGUGUAGCGGUGAAAUGCGUAGAUAUAUGGAGGAACACCAGUGGCGAAGGCGACUCUCUGGUCUGUAACUGACGCUGAGGCUCGAAAGCGUGGGGAGC
rnacentral:rRNA from 1 species